UAUCAACGGCAUCACGAGGAUCCUACUGUCUCCCCCCUCUAAUCAGUGAAACUGAUCUCCCCGUGAAGAAGCGGGGAUAUACAUAUAAGACGAGAAGACCCCAUGGAGCUUUAAACCUGACAGCACCCGCUCAUUCUAUACCCCAUUAUUUGCCCGACCCCUGUCUGCUCAGUUUUAGGUUGGGGUGACCACGGAGUAUAAAAUAACCUCCAUGAAGAAGGGGAUAUUUCCCUUAUUAGAGAACCACACUUCCAAGAACUAAUAAAUUAAUUUUCAAUGACCCGAUACCCGAUAAUCGAUCAACGAACCAAGUUACCCUGGGGAUAACAGCGCAAUCCACCCUGAAAGCCCUUAUUAACAGGUGGGUUUACGACCUCGAUGUUGGAUCAGGGUAUCCCAGUGGUGCAGCAGCUACUGAGGGUUCGUUUGUUCAACGAUUAAAACCCU
rnacentral:rRNA from 2 species